GAACAUGUACUGCCUGCCACCAAAGAAAUCCUGCCCAAGGUCGUGGAGACAAUGUGCACCAUAGGCUAUACCUGUGAGGAGAUUGUUUCAUCCCUAACUCACAGGCGAGAAGAUAAUCAUGUAACAGCUACUUGCAACAUUCUCAAAUAUCAGCUGAGUGGUGGGGACAGCCAUCAGCAAGAUCAGAUGCCCUGGUUAACCAACAGCCCUGCAGUUCCUGUUUGCCUCCCUCUCCUCUUGAAGAGAGCCAGUGUACCAGCAUUUACAACCAGUACACAUGCUGGGAAGGGUCACGUUAAGGAGCAGAGUGUGGAGGAAAGAGGCAAAAGAUGUAGAAGCUACACCAUGCCUCACAGAUCCUCCUUCCUGGAGGUGCUGCCCUGUUCAGACAACACAGUCCCAGAAAGAGAUGCUCUUAUGGCUGACGUCAUCAACACUGCUACAGAGGACACUAAAGUCAAGAAGAAUUCUGUUGACUCCCUGCCUGGCAAUCUCUCCUCCCCUGAAUCAGUCUUGGAUGCAACACCCAUGGGAUUUCUGAACCUGGGCUUCUGUGAAGAAGAUUCAUCCCAGGAGCCAGACAUUCCCAGUGACCAGCCCCAUGUGGCACCCACAACAUCUGGAUCCAGGCCUUUCAGGGUCUGGAAGCUGGUGAGGAAGCAAAUUUCCCAUGCACUGAGAGCACUGUGCAGCUGCUGCUGCUGCUGCUGCCUGCCCACCCCAAGUGUGGAAACUGAAGUGGCCCAAUAGAAUUCCAGACCUGGUGAGGAGUGACUGCCACAGAAGUGAGCCAGAACUCAUCUCCAGAGUGCCAGCUCCAUCCAACCCAGGACAACAGGCUCCUGCCUGCAUUCAUCCUCCAGCUAUUGGGUCUGAAGUGCCACUUUGCAUCUCUUUUAGCUUCAUCCAGCUUCAGAACUGUUGUGGGACAAUUGGGGGUCAUAAGGCACUUGGACCCCAUGACCCUCUACCUUCCUAGCUUUGGUUGUGCUUGUAGGACCACUCACACUGCAUGGAAAACAGCAGCCUUUACCAUCAGGAAGGAUUUCAUACCAAUCUAGGCUGCUCAUCAUCUUGGUCACUUUAACCCUCCAACUUACUCUGUGACUGCCUUUUGGACAAAACAGCAAGACCUGUGUAAAUCCUCUGGAAAAUGGAGAUCUGGGGUGCAGCAGGAGAAAAGUGCAGCACUAUUGGUCAGUGAAGUCCCAUCCUCCUCAGUGCUGAGUAAGUCCUGUCUCUUAAAGUCUCACUAAAAGAGACACUUUCUUUAUUCUUUUGGGUUUUAUUUGGGGAAAGUGAAUUGAAUUAGAGUCUUGGUGUGGUUUAGUGCAACAAGAAGGAUCCAGGCUGGAAAUCUGUGUCCUGUGUGAUGAUAUGUUAGGCUACAGGUUUCAGUAUCCAUCCUCCAGGUUAGGUCUCAGGCUGCCAUCUUCCCCAUCCUUCACCUCACUGCUGCCCCUGCACUGUUGCUGAACAUCGCUGAGAGUCACCUGUAGCAUCGACCCAAUGAAUGUCUACAUCUGCCCUGGUUCCUGUGGUACCAGAGUUCCAUGACAUCAAAAAGGGCUGCCUCUGUCAACAGGACAGACUGGCACACAGGUCUCAGGCUUCCCUCUUCUUUGAUUCAUUCAUCACCUCCAAACUGCUUUCUGACUGUCUUUCAGAAGAACUGCAGUAACUGUAAAUCCAGUGGGAGAUGGGAGAAUGGAGAUAAGGGCAGGAAGAGGGGAAAGGAAGUGGAGAGGAUGGAGAGGAAAUGAGAGGACCUGUAGAGAGAGGGUAGAGUCUGUCUAGAGGAGCUUACCUGAAAUGAGUCGGGAGAAAAGGAGAUUUUCAUGGGACAGGGGUCUUGAAAAGUGAGACCAGGAACAAAUGUCUCAAACAGAGCAGAGUGUGACCGUGGGUUUAUUGCCAGCCAUGAGGAGGAAAGACCCUGCUCUGAUGG